UGUCCAUUUUCUAUUUGACAAAAAGCUUUUAAUUGUUUCCUUAAAAUGAAAAUCUCCUUUCCAAUAUACCAGAUAAUUACGAUACUGUGGAAAAUCAAACAGACGAUCGCCUUCCAUUAUGACACUAGAAAAUAAGGAAAAAACAAAGAUUAGGAAAUACAAUCCUUAACUUUAAGUUUUAGGUGCAAAUAUAAAGGAAAUACAGUCCUUAACUUGUAGUUUCAACUUCCAAAGUUAAGGACACUUAGUCAUUAACUUCAAGUUUCAUGUGCAAAAGUUGAGGACAAUCAGUCUUAACUUGUAGUUCCAACUUCAAAUUUAAUGACAAUUCUUCCUUCCGCUUCACGAACACAAUUAACUAGAAAUUCAUAAACACAUAAAAUAAGGAAAAACAAAUAAAGAUUAGGAAAUACAGUCCUUAACUUUAAAUUUUAAGGGCAAAUAUUAAGGAAAUACAGUUCUUAACUUAUACUUUCAACUUCCAAAGUUAAGGAUACUUAGUCCUAAACUUCAAGUUUCAUGUGCAAAAGUUAAGGACAAUCAGUCCUUAACUUUGAAUUCUAACUUCAGAUUUAAUAACAAUUCUUCCUUAUACAUCAUGAACACAGUUAACUAAAAAUUCAUAAACACAAUAAGCUUAUGAAUUUCUACAACUAUUUUUAUGAAAUCACUGCAUAAUCAAAUAGAUUGAACCAACCAUAAACAAAUUUCAACUUUCACACACUAAAAAUUUAUCAAAAUAAGAAUCAGACUACAUAUACGACACUGAAUCAACAUAAUAUGCUCAUUUUUGAAAUAUCAAACAUACUUCACAUGACAUUGAACAAGCUUACACAUAAAGAAAAACGAAAAUGCAUAAAAGAAAAAAAAAUUACCAGCCACGAUUGACAGAAGAAGACGUAGAAGAUGACGGAGAAGAUGAAGGAGCAUAACUUUAACUGAAUAUCGCAGAUAACAAGCGAGGAAGAUGAAGAAGCAGAGAAGAGAAAACCCUGAAACCGCUCUCGUAUGAAU
rnacentral:lncRNA from 1 species